CAUUUUUUUCCAAGAGAUUCACUCUCUCCUCGUGGCGCCGAGAGUCUGUGAGCAAACCAAUACUACGUGCUGUGGUUCUUGUGUCUAUAUGUUG